rnacentral:sRNA from 2 species
CCGAGCAACGAACUAGCGAGAUAUAAUUCUAUCUCAUAUAUACACAUUGAAUACUAACUGGUCGUUUGCAAUUCCCCAACGUCAAGAAUCAUCCAGAUCUAUCAAGGAUGAUCCAAACUCUUCUUUCACUAAGAUAUUUAUUCCUCCCACCCCCGUCUCUGUUUGUCCGUGCGUGUCUGCAUAUUUGCCUGAAACCUACAUAUGCUCUCGCAUAGUUGCACCCACAGCCAUCAUGCCAAGGUUGACUGAAGCAAAAAGGGUAUGACAAAGAAAAAAAAAAAAUAGGCAAGAAAUGCAGACGGCAGCUAAGCAUUGCAUGCUCCAAUGUCCUCCCGCUGCAGUGUGGCUGCCACGCCACAGUCCAAUGAAUGCAGAUGGAUAGCAGAUUGAUGACAUCGACAAAAUGCAGGUCUCCUGGGUUCCUUGCUCCCCAAAGGAGUUUUCUUCCAUUCUUGCUAUCUUCCUUGCUUUUAGUUUUGGAAUGGGUGAGCGCAUCUAAGUGACUCUUGUUACUGUUAGAGGACUUAGUGAUAAGAACAGUGAAUGAGGGCUUGUGCACAAUGAAAACAUCGCCAGGGGGACCGCCUGCGUCAUGACACGCCAAUAGCGCUGUUUGAUUGUUGAUUUCUAACAUUGCCUAAUCGUUCUGUGAGGCAAGAGGAACACCAGGCCCUAUGCUGGCUAUCAAUGAAGAAACCAAGGGGAAACGCUUCAAUAUACAACAGCGUACAGCACCGGCAUUGACGCGCGUAUGCCGUAUAUAUGUACAAGCAGCAUUGAAGCUACUGAGGUAGGCUCAUAUGCGUACGAUCGCCUACAAGCAUGAUC